UUUUGUUUUAACUAGACAUAAGGUGGUUGAAGAACCAGGUUCCACACUUCUCUGCAUGCCUCUAUGUCCCAGAUUCUUGAUUCUGAAAAGGCCUGGAUGGUUUUGUGAAAAGAAACUCUGAACUGGCCCCAAAUAGCUAAUAGUGAAACUGGGAUUCCUGAACACAUCUCUGUUCAACUGGGAUGUUGUUAUCAUUUUCCUUAAUUGUGGAAUAACAAUGGAUAAUCAUAUCCUACAUUCCUUUGAUGGAGAGAGGUGGGUUGGGGGAACAUAAAGAAAAUUCCUAGAUGAUGCUAAAAGAAAGCUGUCCUUAGCCAUUCCCUGUGGAAAAUCAGGGUAUUCUCAGAUAUACAGUCCCAGACUUGAGGGGCAUUAGAAUCACAGAAGGCAGGUGUUAAAAAUCCAGGUCCCUGGGCACCAGCCUCCUAUAGCUGGGAUUCGCUAGGUCUAGGAUGAUUUCUGGGCAUCUGAAUGUAUUUUUCUUAAAACACACAUUUUAGGUGAUUCUGUUGCAAAGAUCCAUAGGCCAAAUGAACAAUAAUUAUGAUGUAUGACAUUUACUAAACAGUCUUCGAUACAUCGUCUAUUGGAGGAUAUUUGGAGAAUUAUUCCCUUCACACUUCCUCUUUGAGAACUUUUUGGAUGGGGUCUGAUGUUUCAGAUUUCUGGAGAGCCCACCCAGAAGAUAUCCGCUAAAGUGCCAGAAUGGUAGGGGUCUUAGCUUUACCUUAUGACUUUGAGAAGCAGUGGGCCUAGACUAUUUGGAAACCACCUAAAAGUUGACCUGGAGUAGGGGGGAGAGUUGCAGCAACAUUUUCAAAGGACCAGUUAGCGAGUUUUGUGGAGCUGGAUUCAACCUCUUCCCCACACAACCAUUGGUUGCUGCUGGCACCCUCUUCAGAAAUAGAUGACCCAGGCCUUCCAUCUCUCCCCUUGGGAGCCCUUGUUGACUCCAUUGGGAGAGGAGAACUGGACCAUGCAGAUUCCAUUGAGGAACCAAUGAUACAUCAUCCUCAAGAAAGGCAAGAGGCAAUGGACCCCGCUGAGAGCUCAACGAACAUCUCCAUGAGUUAAUUUUCAAGUUCAUUUCUUUAAUUGCCUGAAAAUCCAUGGUCAGGCAAAUUGUCUGAGAGUUAGGAUUACCGCACCCAACCUUCUAUAACCAUGCCUUUCCCGAAGAAGGGCAGACACAUCCAUGCUAUGAGAAGACAUCAGCUAGCCAGCUUCCCAGUUGCAGGACAACUUCUCACCUGUUACAUGCUGAGGUCCUGUUUCCAUUACAGGCCACCUUGAUCCUCGAAUAAAUUUACUCAUACUCAAGAUUUAAUAUAGGAU
rnacentral:lncRNA from 1 species